ACUCCAGUGACGCAGUGGUUAGCGUGUCGUUCUUAUAUCGGUCAUCUGAUGAUACCAAUAUGAUCAGCCUUAGAAAUGCGAAAGUCGUGGGUUCGACACCCACCUGGAGUA
rnacentral:tRNA from 1 species